CGGUUGAAAAACAUCCAAAACGAAAAUGGUUUAAGUAUUAUACCAAAUCUUUGUUUAGAUUUUAAUUUUAAUUUGUUCGUUGUUAGACUUCGCGGUAACGAUAUAGUGACUACUGAUAUGAUCGCGUUUUGUUCACUCGAGUUAAUCUAUUUUGUACGUGUUUAUUUUGCUCCGAGUGUUUAAAGUGUAUCUUUCCUCGUCCCUAUAUUCAAAUUGUACUCAUAAAAUACGAGAAAUGUUCGUUUCAACGUUUUUCCACGCGGUGUAUUUAUUUAUAUUUAAUUGUGAAAACCGCGAGUGCAUGGACUUACGCAUACUCUAUUUAUUAUUUAUGAUGAACAAUGGAUAAACUGUGAAUAUCGGUUAGAAAAAUGUUUUUUCAGCCGUAACGGUAACAUUAUUGUCGCGUGUGGCCGAUAAAUAAUCGUUAAAAUGUAUAAACAUUAGCACUGUAAUAUGACAGCAUUUGAUCGAACAGCUCGCGAAAUCAAUGAUUUGUUAACGAAAAUGCAGUUGAUCGUCAAAUCACGGGAUAUUUGAAAUUCAACCGGAUUCGCAACGUUUGAAAACGGCGUGGAAAGUGUUUUUUUGCCACUGGCCCCACACGUAAAGUAACUUUGGACAGUGCAUGAAUUCUUAAUCAAAUCCUAAAACGAUUAUUCGAAAACCUGUAAAUUCUCAUAAACAUAUUGCACGACGUGCCUAUAUCCGGGCCCAUUUAAUAAGCACUUGCCGUUGUUAUGUCGAUUUCAUGCCUCGUGCGCGUCGACGUCUGCUCUUGAUCGGUCGACGACGGGGACCGAUAUUAUCAAGUACGGGUUAUUAUGCAUCUCGUUUUUUACGGCGCAGUUCGGCGCAUAGCGAUCCAACGUGCACAAUACCCGGAGUGUCUCGCGAUCCGGAGACGUCAGUAAGUUUGCUGUUCGCACGGGGAACAGGGUGGAACGCUGCGAAAACAUUAUUUUCGUCUCUUUUUACCGCAACGUUCUAUUCGAUUUUUUUUCUUUCCCUAUAAUUCAAUUCAAAAUGCAUAUCGGUACGCGCCGCGUGCACGCACGAGCUUAUUCGUGUGCGCGUAUUUCGAUUGUUCGACAACGGAUUGGUACGUGAUCCGUGACGACGAGCUACUGGCCUACGGUUCUCCACGUAAUGCCCGGACGGUCGGCCGGAGUUAUAGCCACCCGCGUUUCAGACGAGCGACGCGUGUUAUGCUCUCGGAUCGAAAAACCAGGCCACCGAUCACACCGUGCUACACGCGUUGUGCGCAACAACGUGUACUGUAUACCGGCAGACGGACACGGGAGACGAGAACGAAUAGAUGAUCGACGGUGACAAAGAGGAACGAUGGACAGGAAAACGGUGUCUACGGUUAGGGCAGAUCGUUGGUACAAGCAAUAAGGGCCGAGUAACAACGAAAGCCGUAUCGCUAGCAUAAAGUUUGCAAACAAGUUAGCUAGUCGUUACGGUAAUAUAUGUUUAUGAACCGAACGCGAACCGCGCAAAAAAUACCAUUCCACGAUGAAGUAAACCCGAUGACCACUAAUAAAUAAAGGCGUCACGACGCGUCGUUGCAUUGUAUAAAAACAGAUAGUUAAUUAAUAUAUGUUGUACGUAGCACGUAAGAAGGUGGUUAAAAAACGUAUUUUCAUGUAUUUCGAAGAAUACCGUAAUUUGUAAAUUUAUUAUUUUUUUUUUUUUUUGUCUAGUUAAUUUUUCCGAAUUACAUGCCCUUGUAUAAACACGAUAGGGGCACCUAAUGUAAGGUAGAAGAUAGAUAGUUAGGAGUUGGACAGUGUUAGGCUGGUCAUUUUUCCCUUUUUGUUAAUUAUUGCUCGUCGUGGACAAUGUUACAGCCGUAUCGCCGCGACUACAUAAUUUUUACCCGGACUGAACUGAUCUUUCUUGUCUAGUAUUGAAUUGGUUGAACUGUUUAUUAUUUUUCUUGUGUUGAUUAAUAAAAAGUGUCAAUAAAAGUGUUUAAUUA